UACAGAGGUCUCAAGCGUUGUUCGGAUUCAUUGGGCGUAAAGGGUGCGUAGGUGGCGCGUUAAGUCAGGUGUGAAAUUUCGGAGCUUAACUCCGAAACUGCAUUUGAUACUGGCGUGCUUGAGGACUGGAGAGGAGACUGGAAUUCAUGGUGUAGCAGUGAAAAUGCGUAGAGAUCAUGAGGAAGACCAGUGGCGAAGGCGGGGUCUCUGGACAGUUCCUGACACUGAGGCACGAAGGCCAGGGGAGCAAACGGGG
rnacentral:rRNA from 1 species